AAUGAUAUGCGAAUAUUUUUUUGCUUUGCCUUUAAGUAUUAUAUUCGACAAGAAAACAUAGUAUAGUUUCGUAGUGUUGAUUGCAUAGUGCAUACACAUGAUUACCCUUGUAAGAAAUCAAUGGAAAAGAAAACAAUAACACGUUUUUACCAAGAUAUUGUGAUUCGCGGUAUCGUGAGAACGCACACGUUUGAAACGUCGCUAAUGAAGAAUCGCGUGAAAGGCGAAACUUACGCAUAGAUUAUACGCACGAAAAAGAUAGAAAAUAAAAUUAAAUGAAUUCCAAAAUCAAAAUUCUAGUAACUCUUUUAUCUGUGGUAUUUGCAUUUGAUAACAGACGAUGUUUGUUAUUCAGGGGAAUGUGUGUGGCACAUUGUCCACGGCACAUGCAUCCAUACCAUACGCGAUGUAAUGGUCAAACCUUAUCGCAGAAAACAUGUGAUGAACCGCAGGUUUAUGUAUUAGGAUACACGUGUGGCU